CUGCAGCAAGCAGGUGGAAGUGGUUCAAUCAUCCACUCACUGGGACAUAGAAGCAGACCUCAUUCACUACUCAAUGCUGGACUGUGAGCAAGCAACAUUUACCUGGAUUCCCACCUGCUCGUGCCACUCUCUGGAAUCAUCAACCUCAAGUCUCCACUGUCUGUUGACACUCUGUAACCUGGACUUCAUCCUUGUCUCAGAACUAUUCACCUCCACACCUGGUUCUGGACAUCACCUGCCACACCAAACACUACGCCACUGUCUGCCUGUGCCACCCUCCAAAGACUCCCCAUUCCCUCUGUUUCCCCCCGUCAGCUAAGUUCCAACUCCUGAGCCAUGCUGGUAGUUGUAUAUUUUGCUUAUUGGUGGUUUUGUAGUGCAUUUUGGUUUCCGUAUUCUCCGUAGGUUAGUGUAGCGUUACCCCGUUUGGUGUAGCUUAUAGGGAUUUGUACUUUUGCUAUGGUUUGUAAUCAUAGGUUUGUGUUGCUUUGCAUAGAUCUUUUGUAUUGUGACUGUAGGUCACUUCUGCUUGUAGUUCUUCUGCUAGCUUUGUAGUUUUGUAUUGUUAUCUGACUUGUGUUGGAAAUAAAUACCUUAAACUUU